UUCUUUAUUUGGAUGCCUGUUCUUUAUGAUAUUCUGUAAAAUAAUUGUGACAAUAAGUACUUUUUUCUUAGUUUGCGCUACUAAGGAAAACAACAGGACAACAGGUCAUCUACUUUAUUGUGCGAUGGCUAGUAAUUUGAGUUGCAUUUCUCUCCCUCGGGGAAAAUUGGGUUAUUUUAUGGAACUGGGUAUGUUUAAAGUUGGAGGGAAUCAACAGUAAUUUAUUGUUUAAAGAGUGAUUUUUUCUUGGAGUUUGUGGACAUAGAAGAUUUCAGUUGUCUCUGAAGACAUGGAAAAUCAAGUUGCCAAGAUUAGAGACCAUGGUGAUUUCCAUUGAAGAGCUGUGAACUUUAACUUGGAUAAGAAUAAGGCUGAAAGUUGAAGGUCCUGUUUCAUGAAAUACCACCACAGGUUAUUGCUAUUUAUAAUUGAUUGUUCACUGAAGUAUGAAAUCUAUUGUAUGUUUUGUGUAAUUAAAUGUUUCUUUUAACAAAGUUGGUGAACCUCUGUUGGAUGUUGAAUCUUUUAAUACUAUGACUAGGCUCAGUUGCUUGUCAUCAUCCAUGCAGCCCCGUUACUAGUGUAUAUCUGUUGUAGGCUGUUAGCUUUGUAAGUGAACUUCAAAAAAGACGACAUCAAACUACAGAGAUAUUGAGUUUAGUCAACCAAGGAAGUAGAGUUUGAAAAACCAUUAGAGGAUUAUAGUUCAUAUAUACAUGUUUUCUUACCUUUUUGUUGUCUUCAAAAUGUCUAACAAUUAAUGCUGAGAAGUUUCUAUGCAAAGUGAACCAUUUUGAGGCUCACAGGAUGGAUUAGCUUCUGGAGCUCCACAAUCUGAAGAAGUGCUCAAUGCACUUUAUUGCAAGUUGAGAGCUCCUGCUUGUCAUUUGGUGUAAUGAGUUUGUGUAGCAUCCACUUCAGGGUCCUCGGAGUGUGUAAAGUCCUCUUCUUGUUCAGUUCAUGACUGCAUGGUUCUUUCAGGUUUUCUGUGGAAGUGGUGAGGCAGUAACAAUUUCCUUCAUUGGAGCUGCUCGAUUGUUUCCUGGAAUAUGUUCUUUCCAAAAGGUACGUGCUUAAUUUAAAAGGCUCUUGUUUCUCUUGGAGAUACUCCUUGAGCUGUUUUACAAGUAUUGGCUUAGAUGCAGAAGUAGCCAUUGAACCUAACUUGGUGCCUUUAGAACCGAGCUAAAAAAAGAUAGGAAUAAAUAGACAGGAGAAUAAGCUGGAAGAUUAGAAAAUUAGUUACAGUAUAAAAAAAUUAGAAUCGACAGUGUGGCUGUCACUUUUGAGACAUAAUUAGUAGAUGGAGCUAGCUUAGCUAAAAGGAGUUGGUGGAACCUUUUAAAGGAGCUUCUGCUAUAAUUAGGAAGUAGUGGAACGCAAUCUUGUAAUGGAUUGGGGACACCCCAAAAGUUAAAACUAGGCAAUCUUGUCAUUGAUUGAUGACACCAAAUUGUCAAAUAAAAUAGAAUAUAGAAAUUGUUUUGAAAUUCAAUACCCUCGUAUGCCUCUCUUCAUAUCACAUUACAUUAGUAAUAUAUAAACCCUCUUUAACUUCUGUCGUGUAUUGAAAGUUGUCCAACAACAACACAAACGUCAAAGUAUAUACAUGGAUUUUUGCUUUUACUUGUCU